CGCUCCGACGACCGCCCCCCCUCCCGCCUUCUCCACCCAGCCGGCUGCAGCCCCGCCGGCCGAAGGCCAUGGCGGAACCAUACGCGACGGAAGGGCUGCAGCCCAGCCUGGAAGCGGCACUGGAGAUGGAGGAUCUCCUCCAUAGCUUCGUUCCUCCACAACUUCGUUUCUUCGGGAUUUGCUGACCAGUCGGAUGCCUUGGCUUACAGGACAACGAAGAGCUCAACGAGGGAUGGGGUGGCGGCAGUACAUCAAUCGGCGCGAGCUCGUGAGGGAAGAAGAUCAUGGCGGCUAGGGUUUCCACAACGGGUUACUAGCCCGCAGUUCCUCCCUGCAGAUUGGCCCAAAUCAGGUCAGAGCGGCCCGACGGCAGCCUCCUGGUAGUGUUGGUGAUGACGCCAUGGCUAGACCCUAUGGUUGCUUGGUCAGCCAGAUCUGGUCAGCUGGUUCUUCCUCCUCCUUCCCAUUGGUCUCCCCAUGUAAGGUUCUGAUUUCUUUUGCUAAGAUUAAUUACACCUAGGUGGCGACAACUGAAGUGACAGAGAGGAUAAUAGCCAUAUUUCCAUAAGGCCAUGGGAAAAUGAAGUGUGGCAAUUGUGCUAAUCCUUGAGUGCAAGCAACUCUCUGGAGAGUUGAUCUUGUGUUUGGAAGAGGUGGCCUAGGAUGGUUGUGUAUUAGGUCUGUGAAAGGAGAAGAUUCUAGCAGAGGGGAUUAGCGAAGAAGAAGACCAAGGUGAUUUCUCUCUCUAAUGUUUUCCGUGUAGUUGGGAAAUAAGACCAAGAAGAAGACCAAGGUGCUAGCUGACAUGGUCCCAUUUGGUUUUCAGAUGGCGCUGGUGACAGACGAUGACGUUGUGAUCUCCUUAUAUCGGUUCUUUCAUGUCUCUGUACCAUCGAACCUAUUCAUGUUUCGUUUUUGUCUUUUGAGGUAACCAAGUUAAAAAAUGAUCCAAAUAAGCUUAUCCAUGAGGAGCAGCUCUGCUUUUGUGGCUGCGGCCACGGACCUCACCGUCCCCUGCAGCGACUGGCAAUUUGAGGACAUGCCUUAAUAAUGGAGUCAGAUCUACUAAUUAGGCAGAAGGAAGUGAGGAACAUAGGAGAGCAUAUUGUUAGUACGAGGUGGAUGGAGAUUCUUUGGGGAUGUCAUGGACCAAAAUGAAGUUGUCUUGGAACCCGGUGAAUUUAAGUUCUGUUGAAGUGGACUGCGGUGGAAGGUUGGGCAGACAGACUAGAGCCGGCAGUGUGCUGGCUGCUGGAGAAUGUGCGGGAGGGCAUGUUGGCAUAAGACCAUUGUCUCCUCACCGGGGCCAUUAGCUUGACUUCCUUGAAGUGCAGAUGUGAUUGGCAUCAUCUGUGUUCGCUGUCCCAGGAAGAACUGUUUGUGUAGCAAGGAGGGAUGUGUUCCUUCCUGACCCAAGCUAAUGCCUCACCAGCGCUCCAGUUAUUUGCCAAACAGAGCAGUUGCCUACAACACAAGUCGCUGCAGAGCGAACGAGGCUCAUGGGCUAUUCUGUGUGCCCAGAAGGCGUGAGCAAAGGCAGAAGGACAUGCCGGUGCGAUGAAUCGGUGGUGCAGGUCAUGAGGAGCAUUGUAGUGUGCUCGCCUGCAUCGAUUGAUACACCGGCCAGAAUUGAGCAGAGGUGGUGGCAAAAAGGAUGCAACCAGGGGCAUGGCGUGGCAUCAUGCCUAACUUCAUAGUUUCCAUUUCAGUGGUCCAUACACGCUUCGUCUGAAUUUUGUGAGAUGUCGAGUAUGUGUGUGUCUACCUAUGGGUGAUAAAAAAAACAUCUGCUUCAA